ensembl:lncRNA
AUGCCUGCUAUAGAUGUGGGUGAAACAUCAAGAGAGAAUACUUUUGGAUUCUGGUCCUGCAGGCUGGGAAACACACAGCAACCCUCAAUCAGAGAAGAUUGCAAAUCAACUUUGUUACUGAGUUCUGCUGUCAUGGAAAACAGGGAUGAUGAAGGAUGCAAACUACUUCUGACUUGGAUUUUCUUAUCUAAAUGAAAUUUUGCUUUUAUAUAAAUGUAACUAUUGAGAGCAUUGUGUCUUUAAAAAAAAAAAGUUCCCCACUCAGUUAAUAAUUUUACAAGUCCCUUCAGCCUAUUCUCAUAUGGAAAUGAUUCAAAUUCCUUUAUCAUAUUAAAUGUCAUUUUCUGAACAUUGGAAGCUGCGGUUGUUGUGUGUUUUCUGGGCUGUAUGGCCAUGUUCCAGAAGUAUUCUCUCCUGACGUUUCACCCACAUCUAUGGCAGGUGUUGUGAGGUAUGUCUUAAUUGAAUCACAUAAUCAGAAAAGAUUAUGUGAUUCAAUGUAAUACAAGUCCCAUAUCUGCAGGACUAGUACCCAUGGUUUCAUUUACCCACUGCUGACAAAAUAUGGCCUCUCUAAGUAUUUUAUAGGUCUUCCAGCACAAUUUCAAGGAAUUAUUGUUUCAUGUCUUCAUUUCAAUAGUGUUUGCUAUUGAUAUUGUGUAUCCAUGCAAAGUCCAGGAAGAUCUCUCCCAUGUGGGUCAUAAUGUAUUAUCUACACUGACUGAAAGCAGUUGUCUGAGAUUUUAAGGAGACCUAUUUUCUUAGCCCUACCUGGAAAUACUGUCACUGAACUUGGGAACUCUCUAUAUGUAAAGUAUGUGUUUGACCACUGAACUAUAAGCCAUUCUCUGAAAAUCAAUUUCAACUCAAUGAUGCCCUUCCAACACAGGGCAUUUACUUCUAGAAAGGUUUUCCUCACUUGCUGGAAAGCAGAUAGCCAUGUAUGUGAUGCUGAUGGGCAAUGACGUGAAACUGAUUAUGUCCCUCUAGUGGCAUCAUGGGAGAGGGGAAUAGAAUAUGUGAAAGUACAGAAAGAAUCGAACUCCAGUGCAUUUUUCAAGCUAGUGAAAUUUAUUUCAUUUCAUUUGCAUGCUGCCUCAUGAAUUUGAAUAGUACACAACAUAUGAGAAAAGAGACAUAUGAAAGUUAAGAAAUAAAUAAAACACACAUUCAAUAAGGACCUUCCCUGCUUAUACAUUAAAAGCGGCCUUAAACAAAAAGGUUGCCUGCCAGCAAAAGGACAGCAAGGAAAGGGACAGUCUAAUCUUCCCCUGUAACUCUUAUAACUCUGACAGCUUUGUCUGGGGAAAUACAAGUAGACAUUUCUUCUAUGUCUUACAUUGCCUAGUAAUAGGCAUUUUCCUCUUUUGAAUAAGAAGAGUAAAACACAAAAGUGAAUAUUGUACUUUGAGCAUAUCAUGAGAUUACAUGAGUCACUAGAAAAGACAAUAAUACUUGGCAAAGUGGAGGCAGUAGGAAAAGAGGAAGACAGAUGCAUUGAUCUGUUAAAGAAGCCAUGAUUCUGUGUUUACAAGCCUGAACAGGACUGCCUCUCAUUCAAUGAGUUACCAUAUGUUGAAAUGGCAUCAACAACAAACUGGAAAUAAAUGGAAAAAAUGGAUAUUGGAGUUAGGAUCUUUUCAAAAUAUUUGCAAUGUAUUUAAUGUU